UACCUGCGUUGCAUCCUGUGGCUGGACCACUCCCACGAUCUCGGCAGAAUCGUUACACAGGAAGAAGUCUGGCUGGCCCCAAGCCUGGUGCAAAAUGAAGAAAUGGCACUCCACAUCAAUUCAUGUUUACUUGUCGUCAUAACCAGUCUGUUAGCUUAAUUUUUGGUUCUUCCUAUUGAAUUCUCAAGAAACGUACCAACUCUGUCAUUCACUCUGCAAACAAAUUUUUGCACUUGGGGAUGCAGCCAUGCACAAAGCCUUUGAGCUCAUUAAUAUCUUUAUUUUUUAAAGAAAGUGCAGCUGCUGCGUGGAGCAAUAGGUUGAAUAAGACAAGGGUAAAUGAAAAGAUGGCGAAAUUAGUCAUCAACAGUUGUCCAACAAAGGAAGUCUCAAGCUGGAGGCAACAUCUUUGCAAGAGAACCAAAUGGCUCCAGCCUGAGACAUUCGUUGUUCAACCUGGCAAGUCUCCUUCUCUAAAUAUUUCCUCUAGCCUGAGACCUAUAUCUAUUCCACCACCCUUGACCAACAAUACACCUAUACAUUUGGCAACCCAUGGAAAGGUAGCAAAUUCACAUUCAAGGAAAGGGAAUGUAGUGUGCACCCUGGAAGGUAGCAUGAACAGUAUUUUAUUUACUUAAUGAAAUGCAGAUGUGCUAUCCAAUUACUUUAUUUUGAUCCCCGUUUUAUAAUUGGACAGCAUGGUUCCUCAGAGAGAAUAAUAAUUCGAAGCUCACACAAUUUUGCUCCUUUAUGUCCGUUAAAUCUGUCCUGGUUGCUACACUAUCAGCCCUGUCUGCAAUUGCGUAGCAGUGUUUUGAGCAUGCAUCCAAAUUCAAAAGAAUAGUUAGGCUUCUACCUCAGAAUGUUUGCUACUGUGUUGCAGCUCGAAUUCUAUGUCUAGGUGGUCACUGUGAUGCCAUGUGCUUUUUAAAUAAGACCAAUAUGCUAUUUGAAGGGCAAUUAAAUGCAAUCUCAAAUGACCUCAGCUCGGGGAAUGACACAAUUGGAGGUCAAUGUGAUAAGGAGGAUUUGAUUUCUGAAAACAAGGCACUUAAACGGGAGAAAGCAUGACUAAUUUCGUAUAAAGAUGCUGCUUUUGGAUAUGAUCAGGGAAGGUACUUGUUCGUGACUGCAUUUGCAACAUGUUACAUUGCUGGCUUUAUAUAUUGCACUGGGUACAGUGAAAUGUUGCUGCUUGCACAAUAUUCAACUAAACAUGGUAGCCAUGCUAAUGUGUCCAUGCAGAACACAACUCAUCCACUAUUAUGGACUACAGUGGAAUCUCAAUAAACGAAAAUCGCUUCGAAACUGCCGCUUAAAUAGGACACUAUCCUGAUAAUUGGUUGGCUCUCUGCAAUGUCUCUCAGUAAAUAUAAUGCCUGGUAAAUGGAACCAAUUUCCCUGGCACCUUGAGGCUCCAUUUAAAGAGCACCCACUGUAAAAAUAUAGGGGGGAUCGUGUUUGGAACUUUCGUAAAUGUAGUCUUAAACAAAACCGCAUUUCAGUGGGAGCGAAAUGCAAAAGCACCUGUGUACUUAGACAGGUGCAUGUUAAAGAACCCCAGGUUGUCCAAAUUAAUUCGGGUUACUCGCUAUGGCAUGUGUCAUAAUCAGAAGGUGGGUUCUGGUUCAUAAAAUACAAUAAUUUUUAAUAGCUUGCUCAGAAAUCCAGCACUAAAUUAUGUAGCUUGUUUGUGUGAUGAGUCCCAAUUUCUUAAUUUAGUACUUUGACAUUUAUCAUAUUUGUGUGCUAGUCCAUGCAAAAUACCACUGAUCGGCCUCAUUAUACCAGCCACUGUUAAUUAGGAAUGGCUUAGUCAAGCAACUUAAACUUACAGCACAAACACCUAAGACGAACCACAAAAGGAAGAUACGACACACACUGGUGCUAACUUCUUUAUUUCUUCGUCGUCGAUGCAAUAUAAACCCUAGGCCACACUACCGCGCAGGCACUCAGAUUACAUUACAGAGAUCUGCCAAAUUAUCACAUACGCAAGCGUAGGAAGUCAAAUUCAGAUGGAUGCAGGGACAAAGAUAUCUUACUAAUGCAAUUAUCGCCCUGCCUUUCUUGUGGUAAGCCUCUAAGGCAAGCCGCACAUGCUCAUUCUUGCUUUUGCAAAGAAUCGACGUCCCAUCAAGUUGUGCCUCACAAUUGUUGCAAGAGUUUAUAUGCGCACCAAGGUGCGCUCCUCUAUCUACAUUUUUGUUUACUUGUUGCGCAUGUUCCCUGAGUCGCUCAUUGAUGCAAUGCCCUAUCUAGCCAAGCUAUGUCUUAGCACAUGAGAGUGAAUUGUAUAAACCACGCCGACCGCGCACAACACGUAUGAAGCAUCAUGCCGAAUUCGGCGUCCUCCUCUGCCCUCUCCGCAGGUGCGGGAGCAUAGCUAGGAACACUAUGCCUGCAAGCAAUUUUCUUGAGUUGAUAGAUGACCUUAUGUGUUUAAGGGACCGCGCAGGGAACAUGCACAAAAAGUAAACAAAAAUGUAGAUAGAAGAGUGCACAUUGUUGCGCAUAUAAACUCUUGCAAAAAUUGUGAGGCAUGACUUGAUGGGACGUCGAUUCUUGGCAAAAGCAUGAAUGAGCUUGCGCGGCUUGCCUUAGAGGCCUACGACAUAAAAAGGCAAAAUGAUAAUUGCAUCAGUGACAUAGCUUUGUCCCUGCACCCAUCUGAAUUUGAGUUCCUACGUUUGCAUAUGUGAUAAUUUGGGAGAUCUCUGUAAUGUAAUGUGUGCGCCUGUGCAGUUGUGUGGCCUAGGGCAUAUAUAUGCAUUGACGACGAAGAAAUAAAGAAGUCAGUUAGUGCCAGCGUGUGUCGUAUCUGCCUUUUGCGGUUCGUCUUAGGUGUUUGCGCUGUAAGUUUUAAGUUCAGAAUUAUGUGCCAACUAGGCCAAAUGAAGUUUUACUCUUAGUCAAGCGAGCUCAAUAUACAGUCUGUGCAAAAGUGUGGAGCGUCAGUACAAAGUAACAGUUCAAACACAUGGCUCUGUAGUUACAGUUCAGUAUGAAACGAGAUAAGAUUUCUUAGCAUUUCUUUCAUUUACUAAUUUCAUUGUAUUAGGACAUGUAGAAUACUAGCAACUGGCAUGCUUACAAUGUACAGUGCUCUUUUUUAAAAUCCAGACAAUUGUUUUACUGGGGCAGAAAUGUGCUUUCUUUUGGGCCCGGAAGUGAACAUAUUAUAUUUCUUACAUUUGGUGUAAAAUAAAUUUUCUUCACUGUCA